UUUCCGUAGGUGAACCUGCGGAAGGAUCAUUAAUGAGAUCAUGCCCUUCGGGGUAGACCUCCCACCCUCUGUAUACAAUACCUUUGUUGCUUUGGCAGGACGCCUUCGGGCUCUCGGCUCUGGCUGAGAUGCGCCUGCCAGAGGACCCCAACUCUGUGUUUAGUGUCGUCUGAGUACUAUUUUAAUACGUUAAAACUUUCAACAACGGAUCUCUUGGUUCUGGCAUCGAUGAAGAACGCAGC
rnacentral:misc_RNA from 1 species